UUUAAAGAAAAACAACCCAUAUUUGAAUAGAUUAGAACAACCUUCAAAUGGAUUAACAGUGUUUUUUCCCCAUUUCUUGUAUAGUAGAAUUGUUAUUUUUUAGCUGGCUUCAAAAUGUCAAAUCUCUUGUCUAGAAUGAAAACCCAGCACUUGGAAGAUGUCAGCAUUCUUCAUACCAGAGAAGACCACCUGAGGCCAGACUAAAGGAACUGGAGAAGCUCAUCAAGAUUACCUGGGACCACAUUUAGGGAAUGCAGGUGCUGCUGGCCUCUCAUUUCCCUAAGGAUGUGUGGCCAAGUUCAUUGUCCUGUAGAGGCUCCGAUCGUGUCACACCCAGCAUCCAGUCUGCUUUCCUGUGACCUACAGACUAAAGGCAGACACCUCAAAUCACUUCCUGCCCUACUGGAUGUAAACAAAUACAAACACAACACAAACCAGCUGAGAAGCAAACUCCCC